rnacentral:miRNA from 2 species
GUGAUUAUUACUCAUGAAUGAAUA